GACAGGCCCGGGUAAUCUUUGAAAUUUCAUCGUGAUGGGGAUAGAUCAUUGCAAUUGUUGGUCUUCAACGAGGAAUUCCUAGUAAGCGCGAGUCAUCAGCUCGCGUUGACUACGUCCCUGCCCUUUGUACACACCGCCCGUCGCUCCUACCGAUUGAAUGAUUGGGUGAAAUGUUUAGAUUGCGGUGACAUGGGCGGUUCGGUGCCCGCAACAUCGUGAGUAGUCGUAACAAGGUUUUCGUAGUUGAACCUGCGGAAGGAUCAUUG
rnacentral:ncRNA from 1 species